rnacentral:rRNA from 1 species
CGAAGGGUGCAAGCGUUAAUCGGAAUUACUGGGCGUAAAGGGUGCGUAGGCGGUUAUUUAAGUCUGCCGUGAAAUCCCCGGGCUCAACCUGGGAAUGGCGGUGGAUACUGGAUAGCUAGAGUGUGUCAGAGGAUGGUGGAAUUCCCGGUGUAGCGGUGAAAUGCGUAGAGAUCGGGAGGAACAUCAGUGGCGAAGGCGGCCAUCUGGGACAACACUGACGCUGAAGCACGAAAGCGUGGGGAGCAAACAGGAUUAGAUACCCUGGUAGUCCACGCCCUAAACGAUGCGAACUGGAUGUUGGUCUCAACUCGGAGAUCAGUGUCGAAGCUAACGCGUUAAGUUCGCCGCCUGGGGAGUACGGUCGCAAGACUG